UACGAAGGGUGCAAACGUUGCUCGGAAUCAUUGGGCGUAAAGCGCGUGUAGGCGGCUAAGUAAGUCGGGCGUGAAAUCCCACGGCUCAACCGUGGAAGUGCACUCGAAACUGCGUAGCUAGAGUCCUGGAGAGGAAGGUGGAAUGCUUGGUGUAGAGGUGAAAUUCGUAGAUAUCAAGCGGAACACCGGUGGCGAAGGCGGCCUUACUGGACAGUGACUGACGCUGAGACGGCGAAAAGCGUGGGGAGCAAACAGGG
rnacentral:rRNA from 1 species